GUAUCGACAAUGAAAGGGGUAGCUUUUUACGCGAUUUUGCUGUUUGUUAUAAUUGUUAAUCCUGCCGAUUCCUUUUUUGAAUACGGUUCUCAUAAAAUGGGAGAGGUUGAGUCAUUAAGAUACCAUGGUAAAAUACCAGCAUUCCGUUCUCAACUUACGGUGAAUGUUACACAUGACCGCGCCGAUCUUGAAAACAGCUACACUUAUUUAAGCGUCAUCACCGAGGGACCAGUUGUUCUCAGUAAUCCCAUCGUCGUUUUUGAUCCACACACAAACGUUUUGAAUUUACAUAUCAAAUAUCCUUUAUUACCGUUACGAUUCUUUGCCAACGGCUUUUCUAUGCCAUUAAAACCAGCACUCCGGUUUCCCACCAGGAUAAAUGAAAAUGAGUUUCAAGAACAUCCGAAGCACAAUCCUUCGGCUGUUAUUCCACACUUUUGCGUGCUGUGCUAUCAAUGUUGUGUGAAU